GUGCUUGUACCAGUGGCACAUAUACUAAACUUGGAACUGUACGGAGAAGAUUAGCAUGGCCCCUGCAUAAGGAUGACACACAAAUUCGUGAAGUGUUCCAUUUUUUU